AACGAACGCUGGCGGCAUGCCUAACACAUGCAAGUCGAACGAGACCUUCGGGUCUAGUGGCGCACGGGUGUGUAACGCGUGGGAUCCUGCCCUUAGGUUCGGAAUAACUCCCCGAAAGGGGUGCUAAUACCGGAUAAUGUCUUCGGACCAAAGAUUUAUCGCCUUUGGAUGGGCCCGCGUUGGAUUAGCUAGUUGGUAGGGUAAAAGCCUACCAAGGCGACGAUCCAUAGCUGGUCUGAGAGGCUGAUCAGCCACACUGGGACUGAGACACGGCCCAGACUCCUACGGGAGGCAGCAGUGGGGAAUAUUGGACAAUGGGCGAAAGCCUGAUACAGCAAUGCCGCGUGAGUGAUGAAGGCCUUAGGGUUGUAAAGCUCUUUUACCCGGGAUGAUAAUGACAGUACCGGGAGAAUAAGCUCCGGCUAACUCCGUG
rnacentral:rRNA from 1 species